rnacentral:rRNA from 1 species
UGGGGAAUAUUGGACAAUGGACCAAAAGUCUGAUCCAGCAAUUCUGUGUGCACGAUGAAGUUUUUCGGAAUGUAAAGUGCUUUCAGUUGGGAAGAAGUCAGUGACGGUACCAACAGAAGAAGCGACGGCUAAAUACGUGCCAGCAGCCGCGGUAAUACGUAUGUCGCAAGCGUUAUCCGGAUUUAUUGGGCGUAAAGCGCGUCUAGGCGGUUUAGUAAGUCUGAUGUGAAAAUGCGGGGCUCAACCCCGUAUUGCGUUGGAAACUGCUAAACUAGAGUACUGGAGAGGUAGGCGGAACUACAAGUGUAGAGGUGAAAUUCGUAGAUAUUUGUAGGAAUGCCGAUGGGGAAGCCAGCCUACUGGACAGAUACUGACGCUAAAGCGCGAAAGCGUGGGUAGCAAACAGGAUUAGAUACCCUGGUAGU